UUAUAACAUUUUGAUCUUUUUUGAUUUCUUCUGUUUUCUGCUGAACCAGACAGCUAUGAGGACUUUUCUUCCAGUGCUCCAUCUGCUCACCCUCUGGGCCGUAGGGAUGGGAGAAAUUAGGCUUCGUCAAGAUGUCUUACUUGAAGUGGUCAAACAAAUAAGAGGGGUUAAACUGGAAGGUCAGUUUGCCAUGGCUGUCAGAAUCCCCCAAGAACAGUGCGUGAAUGGAGGAUUUACCCUUACUGAGUACUACAAGGACAUCAAAAAGAGCAUAGGCGAGCGAUUUACCAAAACAAUAUAUUCUGCUGGGUUGCGAACACAGAUCAUUGCAGCCAGACCCCAUGGACUGCAUGCUGAGCUGCGUGUCCUGCAAGCUCUACGUAAACAAACCGUUAAUACAAAUGACUGUAUAGUGUUGUAUUCAUUGUACUCUCCUUGCCUGGAAUGCAUGAAAGUGCAUGGUGAUAAGAACAUUAUUGAUGAACUUAUAUUUGGUAACUUGCCCAGAUCCCAAACAGCCUUUGUAUUCGACGUGGUCUACAACCCUUCCAAAUCCCUUCAAUCAAAACCCAAACCCACUAAAGCCCAAGUGUCAGAAGGCUUUGAUCAUAUCAGCAUUUUUACCAAUUUGUACUAUUGCAAAAAAGACGAGUGUGAAUGGUGUGGCAGGAAUAAUGUUAAUGAGAACCCUUGUUUGGAUGAUUAUUAAGGGUGAAGAGGACACUGGAGGGCUGUGGGUUGGAGUUAGGCUUGCCUUGUUCCUAUAAUGUUCUUUCUUUUAGAUUGCAUCAUAACAUUUUAUGUAAAUAUAUAUAUAUCAUUAUCCAGCAAAUGCUUAUUUGUAACAAAUCAAUUCUUUGAAGUGUUGGAAUCUAGUAUAACAGCAUAGCAAGCUUUUAGAAUAAUUCUUGCUAUGCUAUUCUCCCUGCUUGCUCUUGUGAUGCCACUGCAACUAUGUGAAUAUUCCCUCUCUUUAACUCCCUCCCUUCUUUGUUCAUUGUAUCUGCAUAUUUACCGUUCAAUAAAGUGCACUAUGACAGGA